rnacentral:rRNA from 1 species
GAUCCUGGCUCAGGAUGAACGCUGGCGGCGUGCCUAAUACAUGCAAGUCGAACGCGCAGCGAGAGGUGCUUGCACCUUUCAAGCGAGUGGCGAACGGGUGAGUAACACGUGGAUAACCUGCCUCAAGGCUGGGGGAUAACAUUUGGAAACAGAUGCUAAUACCGAAUAAAACUUAAGUAUCGCAUGAUAUCAAGUUAAAAAGGACGCUACGGCGUCACCUAGAGAUGGAUCCGCCGG